ACCAGUGUGACAAAGACCACAUGGAGGUCUGGGCUGAAAAUCAGAUCACCAGCCUCUAGCAGGUAAGGCUGCUACUAUUAGAUUUGCCCUAAGACUGCUGGAUAUAUUUUAUGACAGGUACCAUUGGGUAACUCAUUGGUUAGGAAUGUGGGUUCUGGAGUCAGACUGCCUGAGUUUAAGCUUCAACCCACUGCCUGGCUGUGUGACCUUAGGUAAGUUAAUUACACUGCCCAGGCCUCAGUUCCCCUAACUAUGAAUAGGACACAGUGACACUGACCUUGUGAGUACUAAAGGAAAUUGUGUUCAGGAAAAUGUUAGAGUAGUGGCUAGUUUGCUAUAAACACUCAACAAAUAUUAUAUUACUCAUUGUUAUUUGUAACUUUCUGACUCUCUUGGAAUAGUUUAACUGUAUUUUCCAUAACAAACAAAAUUACUGAUAUUUAAUGGCUGCUGAACUGACAGACAUGAUGGUUUUAGUGGUUGGUAAAUCUCAUUAAACAGGUUUCUAAUAGCCAACUGGUAUUUAAUGAGCAUAUUGAUGGUCUUACUGUCUUUAAAUUAAACCCUAUUUCAACCAUUUAAUUUCUGUUUAUAACAUACUUCCAUCCUUUUAAAAGAAGCAUAUAAAGCUUCUCUUGAAAAGAAAAAUGUCCAUUCACUUUUUUCUUCCCUGUUUUAUUGACUGCCUAAAUUCUUAGUAGCAUUUGGGCAGACACUUCGUGCUGUUCAAGCCUAUUGAGUCAUGUGCUGUUGUGAAAUUAUUGUCUACCUAACCACAAAUGCAAUAUGCUGGUAUAACUUCCUCUUUUAAACAGUUUUUGAUUGUCAGACAAUCCUAAACAUAUUCUCUUUUCACUUGACAAUGCAAUUUUAUCUAUAUGCCCUUCUUUCUUAUUUUCCUUUUUGUCUUUGCCCCUUGCAGAUGACUUCAAUUCCAUCAUUACUAUUCCUGUCUACUUGCAAUAUCAAUAUUAUUUAUCAUUGUGUUGAUGUGUGCUUUCUUCUAUCCCAUACAUCCUAUCAGUAUAAACUCUUUCAUUAUAUUGAUUAACCAACUCAGUUUAUGGCAGUGUUUCUUUAUCUGUCAUCAAUUGAUUAUCACACAUUCAUCAGGCACUGGAUAGAAUUCAUAGGAUAUGCCACAAAGUGAGAAGGGGGAUCAUUUGCUUCAGAGAAGACACAUUUACUGAUCAUACUGCAAAGAGCAAGCUGACCCCUGCUUGAGAUCUUACAGAGAACUACAGAAAAUUCACAAAAGCCCCCACAAAAGAGUCUGCUGUGACCAUCUGUCAAGUUGUCAGCUGUAAACAACUGCCAAAAUGCUAGAUCACCUCACAAGGAGCUGUGAAGUAACAUCUUUGCUGCCUUUCUUACUUCUUCCUUCCUGGCACCAAUCCUUGAAGAGCCAGAAAACUCUGCCGGUGAAUUGGAGAAGGAGUAGAAGUAGUAUUAGACUAGGUAAUAAAUCUCUUCCACCCCUACUUCAACUUCUGGCUUCCCACUCACAGCAGACUCAAGCUGCCAGAAAGGAAAAAAACUUCAACUUUAACACAAGAUCAAAGUUUUUACAAACACAUGCUUCUGACAGUUAAAUUACUAAACUGGGGCAGUUUUCUGUGACCUGAAGUAACAAGAAAACUGUAUUACUCAACAGUGACCAGAAACAUCAUGGAAUCUGCCUAACUUUUCACAAAGAAAUGAAAAGGCUAAACUUACAAACUACAUUUAAAAGGAUAGAGGGAGAGAACAUUUAAGCUACUUCUUGACUAUAUUCCACAAGUCAUCUCUGUUCAAUAUAUCAGCUGUUUCUUGGAAGAGAAAAUGGUGAUAUCAGGGUACACGAUGGCUUCCUCAAGAAGAAGCUGUCAUGCCCAGGCCAAACUCAAUGACAGCCCUUGAAUUCAUGGAAAUUAUCCCAGGCAGAACACACAUCCUUGUCAUCACUGUCAAGGAUUACUGAUUACACUAUCGCAUUUCAUCUGCACCUACGGACAUAAGAAAGCAUCAAACUACAAGUCUUUUCAUGUCCCCAAGCUGCUAAAAAGGAAUCAUCUAAAAUGCCUCUUCCUGGCCUCCCAGGAAGGUGUUGUAGAGAUUCUCAUGAAGAAUUAUUAUUAUCUCUUUUAAAUAAUAGCUCGGCAUUAACAGAAAAUUUUCUCUGUAUUAUUGCCAUCACUUAAAGACAGAACUUAUGACACCACAAAUGACCCAGAGAAAAGGUAGUUCUAAAUCAAUGCAAAAUAACAAAAGGAUAAAAAGCAUAUCCCCAGAGACACACCAG
rnacentral:lncRNA from 10 species